rnacentral:tRNA from 1 species
GGUGGGUUGGCUCAGUGGUUAGAGCGUAGGUCUCGUAACCGAAAGGUUGCGGGUUCGAAUCCCGCUAGAGGCUG